GCAGCAAAGAAAAGAGUGUGAAAAAUACGAUUUAACUAUAACAGUGGAGUUCACGUCAAGUGAGGAGGAGGAUGAACCAGCAGGGCGUGUCUAGGAAGAGGAAGAAUUUUGAUGAUUUUGUGACAGGGUGUGGUCUGGAACAGUUGAGUGGGAGGUAUGCUAAUGAAGAAAAUUAAACCCAGAGGAAAACCCAAGCCGCAGUUCGCGAGAAAUCUCAAAACGACCACAACCACCCAAGAGAAGAUUGACCCUGUCAACUGACAUUGAUGGAGGUGAUGCCUACAUUAUUAUACCCCCCGCAACAAGUUGUGGGGGGUAUACUGGAAUCGAGUUGUCCGUCUGUCUGUCUGUCUGUCUGUCUGUCCGUCCGUCUGUAGACGCAAUGGUUUCCGGGC